UUUUACACAAUCCCAAAUGUGCUUGAUCUUGAUCUCAUCUGAUCUCAGAAGCUGAACACACUUGAGUGGUAAGUGGUUACAAAUGAACUAACUGAAGUAAAAU
rnacentral:rRNA from 1 species